AUGAGGCUUUAGGGGACAUUUUAGAUCUAAACCAUAGCAGGUUAGAAUCCUCCAGCCUGCCAAGAGCCGAACAGAACCCUCAGAACAUCUCAGAGACGUGAAUUCUCUCUUGUUCUUUAUCUUUCUUCUAUCAACACCGGAGCACCUCGUUCUUGGAACUUUGUUCUCCAGGACUUACAUCUGCAUCCUCCACAACCACAGCAGUCUCAGGACUUGGCCUCGGUGUGAAGGUGACACCUCAGCCCUCCUGGUUCUCAGGCCUCCAGAUCCUAACUGAAUUAUGCUAUGUUGACCUGUAUCCCUUCACUGCAAUGAACCACAGCUGCAAGCAUAACAGCUCUUCUGAAUCCUAUGAUCCUGCCCAGCAAAUCAGCCAGUCUGCAGUCUUGGCUUCUGGAAAGAUGCCAGCAUGGUGAACAGCAGAGAAAGAGUCUCCUUUGGUGUCCUGACACUGGAAUAUAGCAAAAUGAGGAAGCAAAGAAGGAGGGAAGUAGGUCCCUGGGACCCAGCAAGGAUCUGAAGCAAGAAGCCCAUAAGGAGAGCAAAGAGAGAGACUUCCACAAAGAAGGAGGUGGCAAAUGACUUUCUCCCUGAGCCCUGACUCACUUCAUGGGAAGGGCAGCUCAACCUGGAUGUAUGGUGACUACUUGUGAUCCCAGAGGCCUCCACAGGGAAAUGCAUCAGUGGAAUAGAGCAGUGGACACAGUGGACUG